AAUAGAUACCCGGGUAGUCCCAGCCGUAAACGAUGAGUGCUAGGUGUGAGGGGUAUCGACCCCCCUCGUGCCGGAGUUAACGCAAUAAGCACUCCGCCUGGGGAGUACGGCCGUAAGGUUGAAACUCAAAGGAAUUGACGGGGGCCCGCACAAGCAGCGGAGCAUGUGGUUUAAUUCGAAGCAACGCGUAGAACCUUACCAGGGCUUGACAUGUGAGGGAAUCCGGCCGAAAGGUUGGAGUGCUCUUCCGGAAGGGAGAGAACCCUGACACAGGUGGUGCAUGGUUGUCGUCAGCUCGUGUCGUGAGAUGUUGGGUUAAGUCCCGCAACGAGCGCAACCCCUGUUGCAUGUUGCCAGCACGUGAGGGUGGGCACUCAUGCGAGACUGCCGGCGACAAGCCGGAGGAAGGUGGGGAUGACGUCAAAUCAUCAUGCCCCUGAUGUCCUGGGCUACACACGUGCUACAAUGGCCGUCACAGAGCGAACCGAACCCGUGAGGGGGAGGGAAACGCAAAAGGCGGUCGUAGUUCGGAUCGCAGG
rnacentral:rRNA from 1 species